ACUACGCUGGCGGCGUGCUUAACACAUGCAAGUCGAACGAAAAAUCAUUGAAAGCUUGCUGAUAUGAUUUUUAGUGGCGGACGGGUGAGUAACGCGUGAGGACUUGUCUUAUACAGGGGGACAACAGUUGGAAACGGCUGCUAAUACCCCAUAAGCCUUCGGGUAAAAGGAGCAAUCCGGUAUUCGAGAGACUCGCGUCCUAUCAGCUAGUAGGUGAGGUAACGGCUCACCUAGGCGAAGACGGGUAGCCGGCCUGAGAGGGUGGACGGCCACACUGGGACUGAGACACGGCCCAGACUCCUACGGGAGGCAGCAGUAGGGAAUAUUGCGCAAUGGACGGAAGUCUGACGCAGCGACGCCGCGUGAGCGAUGAAGGUCUUCGGAUCGUAAAGCUCUGUCCUUGGGGAAGAAGGCGAAAGCUUGACGGUACCCAAGAAGAAAGCCCCGGCUAACUACGUG
rnacentral:rRNA from 1 species